UGGCUCAGUGGUAGAGCACUUGCCUUGCAUGCAUGAGGCCCUGAGUUCAAUUCCUCAG
rnacentral:tRNA from 1 species